rnacentral:rRNA from 1 species
GUCUGCGCCCGAUCUUGUCUGAUCUCGGAAGCUAAGC